rnacentral:rRNA from 1 species
AGGACGAACGCUGGCGGCGUGCCUAACACAUGCAAGUCGAACGGAACGAAAAGAGCUUGCUCUUGGCGUUUAGUGGCGGACGGGUGAGUAACACGUGAGUAACCUGCCUUUCAGAGGGGAAUAAUGUCUGGAAACGGACACUAAUACCGCAUAAUGUAUUUUUAACCGCAUGGUUGAGAUACCAAAGGAGCAAUCCGCUGAAAGAUGGACUCGCGUCUGAUUAGCCAGUUGGCGGGGUAACGGCCCACCAAAGCGACGAUCAGUAGCCGGACUGAGAGGUUGAACGGCCACAUUGGGACUGAGACACGGCCCAGACUCCUACGGGAGGCAGCAGUGGGGGAUAUUGCACAAUGGGCGCAAGCCUGAUGCAGCAAACCGCCGCGUGCAGGAAGACGGUCUUCGGAUUGUAAACUGUUGUCCUCUGUGACGAUAAUGACGGUAGCAGAGGAGGAAGCCACGGCUAACUACGUGCCAGCAGCUGC